AUGUUUGCGGAUGUGUUCACGGGAUGCGUUUGCGGCCUCGGUUGAAGAUGCAUUUGCACCUUUGGUCUCACGUGCAUUUGUAGGAUGCAUUUGCAGAUGCGUUUGCAGCCUUGGUUGCAGAUGCAUUUGCACCUCUGUUCUCACAUGCAUUUGCACAUGCAUUUGCAGAAUGUGUUUGCAGCCUCGUUUGCAGGUGCAUUUGCACCUCUAUUCUCACAUAUGUUUGUAGAUGCAUUUGCAGAUGCAUUUUCAGGAUGUGUUUGCAGCCUCAGUUGCAGGCACAUUUGCACUGAUGGUCUCACAUGCAUCUGUAAAUGCAUUUGUAGGAUGCAUUUGCAGAUGCGUUUCCAGCUUUGAUUGCAGAUGCAUUUGUACCUCUUGUCUCAAAUGCAUUUGCAGAUACAUUUGCAGAUGCGUUUUCAGAUGUGCUUGCGAGAGAUGUUUGCAAGACACCAUUUGUAGAUGCAUUUGCAGAUGCAUUUGUGGGAUGCGUUUGCGGCCUCAGUUGCAGACACAUUUAUACCUCUGGUCUCACAUGCAUUUGUAGUGCAUUCAAUUGCAGGUGCAUUUGCAGGAUGCCUGUGUAACCUUGGUUGCAGAUGCACUUGUACCUUGUCUCACAUGCAUUUGCAGAUAUAUUUGCAGAUGCAUUUGCAAGACACGUUUGCAAGACACCAAUUGUACAUACAUUUGCAAAUGUGUUUCCAGAUGUGUUUGCAGGAUGCGUUUGCAGCCUCGAUUGCAGAUUAAUUUUCACCUCUGGUUUCAUGUGUAUUUGCAGGAUGCAUUUGCAGAUGCAUUUGCAGCCUCAUUUGCAGAUGCAUUUGUAUCUCUUGUCUCAAUUGCAUUUUAAGAUGCAUUUGCAGGAUGUGUUUGCAGCCUUGAUUGCAGAUGCAUUUGCACCUCUGGUCUUACAUGCAUUUCCAGAUGUUUUUGCAGAUGCAGAUCCGUUUGCAAGACAUGUUUGCAAGGCAUUAUUUUUAGAUGCAUUUGCAGGAUGCAUUUGCAGGAUGCACUUGCAGCCUUGGUUGCAGAUGCGUGUGUACCUCUGAUCUCACACGCAUUUGCAGGUGCAUUUGCAGAUAAGUUUGUAAGACACCAUUUAUAGAUGCAUUUAUACCUCUGGUCUCACAAGUAUUUGCAUACAUUUGCAGGAUGUGUUUGCAGCCUCAAAUACAGAUGCAUUUGCACUCUGGUCUCACCUUUAUUUGCAGAUGCACUUGCAGGUGCAUUUGCAGAUGUGUUUGCAAGACAUGUUUGCAAGACACCAUUUGUAGACGCAUUUGCAGCUCUGGUCUCACAUGCAUUUGAGGAUGCAUUUGCAGAAUGUGUUUGCAGUCUUGGUUGCAGAUGCAUUUGCUCCUCUGGUCUCACAUGCAGGUGCAUUUGGAGAUGUGUUUGUGAUAAAUGUUUGCAAGACAUCAUUUGUAGGUGCAUUUGUAGCUCAGGUUUCAUUAGCAUUUGUAGAUGUAUUUGUAGAUGCAUUUGCAGGUGAAUUUGCAAGACAUGUUUGCAAGACAUCAUUUUGUAGAUAACAUUUGCAGCUCUGGUAUUACAUGCAUUUGAGGAUGCAUUUACAGAAUGUGUUUGCAGGCUCGGUUGCAGAUGCUUUUGUACCUCUGGUUUCACAUGUGCAUUUGCACGAUGCAUUUGCAGAUGUGUUUGCAAGACAUGUUUGCAAAACAUCAUUUAUAGAUGCAUUUUUAUCUCUGCUCUCACAUGUAUUUGCGGAUACCCUUGUAGAUGCAUUUGCAGAUGCAUUUGCAGGAUGCAUUUGCAGCUUCAAAUGCAGAUGCAUUUGUACCUCUGGUCAUCCAUACAUUUGCAGAUGUAUUUGCAGGAUGCGUUUGUAAGAUGGGGUUGCAGGAUACAAUUGCAGCCUCAUUUGUAGAUGCAUUUGCAGCUCUGGUCAGCCUUGCAUUUGCAGCUGUGUUUUCAGAUGCAUUUGCAGGAUCUGUUUACAACCUCAGUUGCAGAUGCAUUUGUCCCUCUGGUCUCACAUGCAUUUGCAGAUGCAUUGCAGGAUGCAUUUGCAAGAUACAUUUGCCACCU
rnacentral:lncRNA from 1 species